rfam:Pelodiscus sinensis unplaced genomic scaffold scaffold49, whole genome shotgun sequence.
CCAACGGCUCUUUUAAGAGCCACCCACCCCUUUACCAGAGGAGCUG